rnacentral:lncRNA from 1 species
AGCAUGGACUCUUACAAAGAAAAUGGAACAGAAAUUAGCAACAACUUAAAGAAGCAUGAAAAGAUAUAUGUUAGGAUUUGCCAGGAGGACUGCAAAUCCAAUACAUGGAUAAGAAAACAAACCAAAAUAGAAAACAUACUCGUAACAAUCAAAAUCAGUAAGCAUCAUUGUGCAGGUCACAUAGUGAUAUACAUUAAUAACCAAUGGGCAAAGAGAAUUAGAGUAUUAAUCAGGGUAAGGGAAAAGACAUUCUGAUAGGCAAUAUAAGCAAUGAAGUGAGGAUUUAAAAAAAGUAAUUGAUUCCUAAUGGAUGCAGAUUGCAUAAGAUAGAUAUAUCUGGAAACAAAAGGAGGCAUAUAUAUCUAGCAAUGGAUGAGAGAUGAUGAUAAUUGCCAUAUAAUAAG